rnacentral:tRNA from 1 species
GCCGGGGUGGUGAAACUGGCAGACGCGCCGGACUCAAAAUCCGGUUCCCGCAAGGGAGUGAGGGUUCGAUUCCCUCCCCCGGCA